rnacentral:rRNA from 1 species
GAUACGGUUAACGGAGCGAAAGCGACGUUCAACCGCAAAACAAGCAGAGGGGGCUUAGUGGUGGGGUGACUGCGUACCUUUUGUAUAAUGGGUCAGCGACUUAUAUUCUGUAGCAAGGUUAACCGAAUAGGGGAGCCGGAGGGAAACCGAGUCUUAAUUGGGCGUUAAGUUGCAGGGUAUAGACCCGAAACCCGGUGAUCUAGCCAUGGGCAGGUUGAAGGUUGGGUAACACUAACUGGAGGACCGAACCGACUAAUGUUGAAAAAUUAGCGGAUGACCUGUGGCUGGGGGUGAAAGGCCAAUCAAACCGGGAGAUAGCUGGUUCUCCCCGAAAGCUAUUUAGGUAGCGCCUCGUGAAUUCAUCUCCGGGGGUAGAGCACUGUUUCGGCUAGGGGGCCAUCCCGGCUUACCAACCCGAUGCAAACUGCGAAUACCGGAGAAUGUUAUCACGGGAGACACACGGCGGGUGCUAACGUCCGUCGUGAAGAGGGAAACAACCCAGACCGCCAGCUAAGGUCCCAAAGUCAUGGUUAAGUGGGAAACGAUGUGGGAAGGCCCAGACAGCCAGGAUGUUGGCUUAGAAGCAGCCAUCAUUUAAAGAAAGCGUAAUAGCUCACUGGUCGAGUCGGCCUGCGCGGAAGAUGUAACGGGGCUAAACCAUGCACCGAAGCUGCGGCAGCGAACGUAUCACCCAAGACAACUUUACGGAGUUGACGAUUGACGGAGCGAAGCGACGUCAAAGCGUUCAUUAAAGUCGAGUUGGCUUAGGGAUACGUUCGUUGGGUAGGGGAGCGUUCUGUAAGCCUGUGAAGGUGUGUCGUGAGGCAUGCUGGAGGUAUCAGAAGUGCGAAUGCUGACAUAAGUAACGAUAAAGCGGGUGAAAAGCCCGCUCGCCGGAAGACCAAGGGUUCCUGUCCAACGUUAAUCGGGGCAGGGUGAGUCGACCCCUAAGGCGAGGCCGAAAGGCGUAGUCGAUGGGAAACGGGUUAAUAUUCCCGUACUUGGUGUUACUGCGAAGGGGGGACGGAGAAGGCUAUGUUGGCCGGGCGACGGUUGUCCCGGUUUAAGCGUGUAGGUGUGUGUUCCAGGUAAAUCCGGUUCACUUUAACACUGAGGCGUGACGACGAGGCACUACGGUGCUGAAGCAACAAAUGCCCUGCUUCCAGGAAAAGCCUCUAAGCAUCAGGUAACACGAAAUCGUACCCCAAACCGACACAGGUGGUCAGGUAGAGAAUACCAAGGCGCUUGAGAGAACUCGGGUGAAGGAACUAGGCAAAAUGGUGCCGUAACUUCGGGAGAAGGCACGCUGACACGUAGGUGAAGUGAUUUACUCAUGGAGCUGAAGUCAGUCGAAGAUACCAGCUGGCUGCAACUGUUUAUUAAAAACACAGCACUGUGCAAACACGAAAGUGGACGUAUACGGUGUGACGCCUGCCCGGUGCCGGAAGGUUAAUUGAUGGGGUCAGCGUAAGCGAAGCUCCUGAUCGAAGCCCCGGUAAACGGCGGCCGUAACUAUAACGGUCCUAAGGUAGCGAAAUUCCUUGUCGGGUAAGUUCCGACCUGCACGAAUGGCGUAAUGAUGGCCAGGCUGUCUCCACCCGAGACUCAGUGAAAUUGAACUCGCUGUGAAGAUGCAGUGUACCCGCGGCAAGACGGAAAGACCCCGUGAACCUUUACUAUAGCUUGACACUGAACAUUGAGCCUUGAUGUGUAGGAUAGGUGGGAGGCUUUGAAGUGUGGACGCCAGUCUGCAUGGAGCCGACCUUGAAAUACCACCCUUUAAUGUUUGAUGUUCUAACGUGGACCCGUAAUCCGGGUUGCGGACAGUGUCUGGUGGGUAGUUUGACUGGGGCGGUCUCCUCCUAAAGAGUAACGGAGGAGCACGAAGGUUGGCUAAUCCUGGUCGGACAUCAGGAGGUUAGUGCAAUGGCAUAAGCCAGCUUGACUGCGAGCGUGACGGCGCGAGCAGGUGCGAAAGCAGGUCAUAGUGAUCCGGUGGUUCUGAAUGGAAGGGCCAUCGCUCAACGGAUAAAAGGUACUCCGGGGAUAACAGGCUGAUACCGCCCAAGAGUUCAUAUCGACGGCGGUGUUUGGCACCUCGAUGUCGGCUCAUCACAUCCUGGGGCUGAAGUAGGUCCCAAGGGUAUGGCUGUUCGCCAUUUAAAGUGGUACGCGAGCUGGGUUUAGAACGUCGUGAGACAGUUCGGUCCCUAUCUGCCGUGGGCGCUGGAGAACUGAGGGGGGCUGCUCCUAGUACGAGAGGACCGGAGUGGACGCAUCACUGGUGUUCGGGUUGUCAUGCCAAUGGCACUGCCCGGUAGCUAAAUGCGGAAGAGAUAAGUGCUGAAAGCAUCUAAGCACGAAACUUGCCCCGA